CCUGAAAAAUAAUAAACAAGAUAAACAUGCUUUUUAUAUCUUUGAGGUUAAGUAACAGACUUUCCAUCAACUUUUAAAAUAAUAGAUCAACAGCUACAAUUUAUCUAUUCUUCCAUUCUUCUCUAAAUUAGUUUCUAACUUUUUAAAUUGUAAGUUUCGUUUCUUUAAAUAUCUUAAUUGAAUAAAAAGGUUCAAAUUAUAUAACCUCAAAGAACUAAAUCCCAUACACGUACUUGUAAACAAGGAUUAAUUAGAUGCUGAUCUUGAAUAUUCAAAGUUUAUCACUUAACAUUGAUAGUUGUGG